rnacentral:rRNA from 1 species
CCUACGGGUGGCUGCAGUGGGGAAUAUUGCGCAAUGGGCGAAAGCCUGACGCAGCGACGCCGCGUGAGGGAAGACGGUUUUCGGAUUGUAAACCUCUGUCCUCUGUGAAGAUGAUGACGGUAGCAGAGGAGGAAGCUCCGGCUAACUACGUGCCAGCAGCCGCGGUAAUACGUAGGGAGCGAGCGUUGUCCGGAUUUACUGGGUGUAAAGGGUGUGUAGGCGGCUUGGCAAGUCAGUAGUGAAAUCCAUGGGCUUAACCCAUGAACUGCUAUUGAAACUGUCGAGCUUGAGUGAAGUAGAGGUAGGCGGAAUUCCCGGUGUAGCGGUGAAAUGCGUAGAGAUCGGGAGGAACACCAGUGGCGAAGGCGGCCUACUGGGCUUUAACUGACGCUGAGGCACGAAAGCGUGGGUAGCAAACAGGAUUAGAUACCCCUGUAGUC